rnacentral:rRNA from 1 species
UUCGCCCUUAGAGUUUGAUCCUGGCUCAGGACGAACGCUGGCGGCGUGCCUAACACAUGCAAGUCGAACGGACGAGGAGGAGCUUGCUUCUCCAAGUCAGUGGUGGACGGGUGAGUAACGCGUGAGUAACCUGCCCUUCAGAGGGGGAUAACGUCUGGAAACGGACGCUAAUACCGCAUGACAUAUUUCCAUCGCAUGGUGGAGAUAUCAAAGGAGCAAUCCGCUGAAGGAUGGACUCGCGUCCGAUUAGAUAGUUGGCGGGGUAACGGCCCACCAAGUCGACGAUCGGUAGCCGGACUGAGAGGUUGAACGGCCACAUUGGGACUGAGACACGGCCCAGACUCCUACGGGAGGCAGCAGUGGGGGAUAUUGCACAAUGGGCGAAAGCCUGAUGCAGCAACGCCGCGUGAGGGAAGAAGGUCUUCGGAUUGUAAACUCCUGUUGUUGAGGAAGAUAAUGACGGUACUCAACAAGGAAGUGACGGCUAACUACGUGCCAGCAGCCGCGGUAAAACGUAGGUCACAAGCGUUGUCCGGAAUUACUGGGUGUAAAGGGAGCGCAGGCGGGAAGACAAGUUGGAAGUGAAAUCUAUGGGCUCAACCCAUAAACUGCUUUCAAAACUGUUUUUCUUGAGUAGUGCAGAGGUAGGCGGAAUUCCCGGUGUAGCGGUGGAAUGCGUAGAUAUCGGGAGGAACACCAGUGGCGAAGGCGGCCUACUGGGCACCAACUGACGCUGAGGCUCGAAAGUGUGGGUAGCAAACAGGAUUAGAUACCCUGGUAGUCCACACCGUAAACGAUGAUUACUAGGUGUUGGAGGAUUGACCCCUUCAGUGCCGCAGUUAACACAAUAAGUAAUCCACCUGGGGAGUACGACCGCAAGGUUGAAACUCAAAGGAAUUGACGGGGGCCCGCACAAGCAGUGGAGUAUGUGGUUUAAUUCGACGCAACGCGAAGAACCUUACCAAGUCUUGACAUCCUGCGACGCACAUAGAAAUAUGUGUUUCCUUCGGGACGCAGAGACAGGUGGUGCAUGGUUGUCGUCAGCUCGUGUCGUGAGAUGUUGGGUUAAGUCCCGCAACGAGCGCAACCCUUAUGGUCAGUUACUACGCAAGAGGACUCUGGCCAGACUGCCGUUGACAAAACGGAGGAAGGUGGGGAUGACGUCAAAUCAUCAUGCCCUUUAUGACUUGGGCUACACACGUACUACAAUGGCGUUAAACAAAGAGAAGCAAGACCGCGAGGUGGAGCAAAACUCAGAAACAACGUCCCAGUUCGGACUGCAGGCUGCAACUCGCCUGCACGAAGUCGGAAUUGCUAGUAAUCGCAGAUCAGCAUGCUGCGGUGAAUACGUUCCCGGGCCUUGCACACACCGCCCGUCA